UUCAUAAAAUACCCAAAUCUCAAAUCCAUAAAAAAGAUUAAGAAAAAGAAAAAAAAAGGAGAAAAAUAUCCCUUUUUUUUCACUCCUCGUAUGGAAAUUGCAGUGAGAAGAAGCUCUUGAGUGUUUGAUUGAUCUGAGAGAAUGGCUGGAAUAGCUCUUUUAUUGGAUUUACUGAAGAAAAAUCCCGGCUUCGCAAGCCAAUCCCUGCACUCGCACGGGCUAUUCUCGGCGACAGUAGCUGCUUCCGCUGCCGCUGCGUCUGUCGCAGCAGGAUGGCCUUUCGCUUCAAGAUUCUUGUUUGGUGAUGGCGGAAUCUCAACAGCUUUUUGUGAUGCUGCCCCAGCCCCAGCAUGGACUGAAGAUUAUGUUACUAAUCUACGCAGUGCUUCUGAAAAUAUCUUUCAACACAAACCCCUCAAAUACAGUACCAAGGAAUAUCCUAUAGAGCUAAAACCUCUAUUCUCAGCUUUCGGACCAAAGUCUCUUGCACUGACAUCACUGAGGUCCUUCUUAAUGUUUUAUCUGCUGCUCCUGGAACCUCGCACACGCAUGGAAGAUGAUGAUGACAACGAUUUCCUACAAGAUGAAUCAGAAGAGAGGCCACCUGUCAAUUUGGUUGUUCCCUUCAAAAAGUCAAUGAAGCAAAUCAGGAGACAACUGUUGUAACCACUAGACAGGUGCUGGAAAGACUUGUUGUCCAUUACAUUUCCCAUCGGAUGACAUGGAAGCUUCUUAAAGAUGUUCCUAAAUCAGCUAAGCGAAAGGCUGAAAGGGGGAUGGCGACUUAAUUAUUCUUCUUUAAUGUCAGCAAGACGACUUUCAGAGGACAUCUGUUAGGAGUUGCUGCAUCUUGGAUCGUCCAAGUUGGAAUAGAGAUAUAUCGUUGUUUUAAGAAUGAGGAUGAGAACGAGGAAGAGGUUGAUAAAGCUGAAAAACUCGAGCUUCUUGGGAGAAAGGUCUCUGGUGCAACUAUUAGGUGCGGUGCAUCAUUGGUUUUUGCAUCCAUUGGGGCCAGAAUCGCUGCUAUCCUCAUCCGUCCUUCAACUGGACAGCGGAUUGAUUGUGCUAUUGGAGACUUAGUGGGGCCUAUCAUAGUUGGAGUUUGUUUCGAGAAGGUUCUUCAUGUUUUUGUUUUCAACAAACCAGAUUGGAAUGCGCUCUUGACAUAUCACAAAAGCUCCAGAGCCUCUGAUCUAAUAAUUCUGUGAUACUGUUUUUUUUAAAUUUUCUUCUAUUUUCUUUUCUUUUUCUCUCGGAAUUUGUUUAGAAAACAGCUGCUCCCAAUUAAAAAGUUAAAAGGGCUAUCAGAAUCUAACUCGAACCGGUUCUUGGAGAAGAGAGAAGUUUCAAAUGUCUGAAUGAGCUCUGGCAGAACUCGAUGGUAAGUUUCUUCAUUUCUUCCUUCUGUUCUUUACUCAUCCGAGCGCAAGCGUCUUCUAUAGAACCGUAUGAUUGCUCUUCUGUAAGAAUGAAACAAUGAAAACAACAA